rnacentral:lncRNA from 1 species
AGAACUCGUGAUCUUGUGUUUUCUAGGUUAUUCAGAAAAUAGAUUUCGUGUUCAUAUAACAUACUAUAACAUGGAUACAACAACAACAUCAAAUCAACAACCAUAUGCAAGAUCUGAGCUCAUGAACAUGUUGACAGACGUUUCUGGGUAAGUUCUGGGUUACCCAGAAAUAGAAAGACAUGGUCGGUCAACGCACUUUGACCUUCCAUAACAUGCAAUCUAUACAUGGUAUGACCAUGAAUCCAGUUCCGGAAUACUAACAACAUUAAAAACUAUAACUACAAACCUUUAAAACAC